UUAAAACAUUUCUAGUCAAUUAUUACAGGAGCUAAAUUUGUUCACUAAGAUUAAUCUAAUAUGGGAUUGAAAUCGUGGUGGAAUAGAUUUAGCUCUAAAUUUCAUAAAAGUUCACAGUAUGAAAGUUACAAUAUAAACAAUGCGAAUUCACAGUGUGAAAGUUACAAUAAAAGCAAUGAGGAUUCACAGUGUGAAAGCUACAAUAGAAACAAUGCGGAUGGUUCAUCUUCAAUAGAUGGAUUAAAUUUCAGCAGUCUUUUAGAAUCCAUCAAUGUAAUAUAUAGUUCAAGUUGUUUGUAUGAUAAAGAAUUUGAAAGUCAUCUCCAACAAGGAUCAGGUAUUGAAGAAAACUAUGCUAAAAACCACGGAGAAUCAAGCAAUGAACUCGUGACUCCUACAAGAGAGUUGGAAAAUAUAGAUAAACAAACAAAUGAAACUUAUCCUAUAUUAAAUAAAAACAAAAUACGAACAGAAGUUAUGAAUAUAUGCGAGGAGGGAACAAAAACUCAAGAGUCUGUAGUAGAAAACACGUUAAUCCCGGAUGAAGAAUUUGAAUUGAAACUAAAGGAAAAAUAUGCGAGUUGUAUAAAAACAGAAACUCUUGACAUUACCUAAUGAAACCGAAACCACAACGUGAGAAUGGCUUCUGAUGGUCCCUCGCGUAAAACAGGAUAUAAUUUCCAUCUACAGCAGCAACAAUGAACCAUCAUAAUUAUUCAAAGAUGUACUUUAUGAAGAAUCGUCUAACUUUCAAAGGAAUCUUUAAACACUAGCAAUAAAAAAUUUACAUAAAAUUAAUAUUUAGUUAUGUUACGAAGUAACUUUCUUCAUUACUUACACGAAAUUUUAACUAGAAAUUAAACAAUUAUAAACAGAAUACGAUUUUGAUCUGAUAUUUUAAUAUAUAAUAUUUAAUUACACCACUUAUUAAU